rnacentral:siRNA from 1 species
GUCCUACUUGACAUUGUUGUUGUA